AUUAAUUGUUUAUUACCAAACACCCCUUUUCUAUAUAUUGUAAUUACCAACCCAAUCAUUACUAUCCAUGCAAGUAACGAUCACUCCUGUGGUACUUUUAAGGUAAAAAAAACAAUAAAAAACUAUUAAGAGUUGCCCGAUCAAAAAAUAUCCCACGGGUGUCUACACU